UCUAUAUUUUCCAUAAGGCAUCCAUUGCUUUUCAAAUAUAACAAUAAUACAAUUUAAAUGAAAAAAUUGUCUAAUUGGAAAACUCAUUUCACAUAUUUUAAUGCCAUUGGUCCCUGUCCACACCACACAUUAUGAAGAUAGUUUCCUGGGGUUGUGUCAUUCCAAGCUGUUUCUUUUUUUUUUUUUUUUUUUUUUUUUUUUUUUUUUUUGAGAUAGAGUCUCAUUCUGCUGCCCAGGCUGAAGUGCAGUGACUUGAUUUCAGACACUGCAACCUCUGUCUCCUGGGUUCAAGAGAUUCUCCUGCCUCAGCCUCCCAAGUAGCUGGGAUUACAGGUGACUGCCACCAGGCCUGGCUAAUUUUUGUAUUUUUAAUAGAGACUGGGUUUCAUCUUGUUGCCCAGGCUGGUCUCGAACUCCUGACCUCAAGUGAUCCACUCGGCCUCCCAAAGUGCUGGGAUUACAGGUAUGAGCCACUGCACCCAGCCUCAUUCUGAGUUUUGACUCCGCCAGAUCUUCACUGGGCAGAUAUAGGCCUCUGUCUUUUACUUUUUUUUUUUUCUUUUUUGAUGGGGUCUCACUGUCGCUUAGGCUAGAGUGCAGUGGGCAUGAUCACAGCUCACUGCAGCUUCAACUUUCUGGACUCGAGUGAUCCUCCCACCUCAGCCUCCCAAGUAGAUAGGACCACAGGCAUGUGCCACUAUGCCCAGGUAGCUUUUUUAUCUUUAGUAGAGAUAAGGUCUCACUAUGUUGCCCAGGCUGGUCUCAAACUCCUGGGCCCGAGUGAUCCUCCUGCCUCGGCCUCCCAAAGUGCUGGGAUUACAGGAACGAUCCACUUUGCCCGGUCUGGGCCUCUAUCUUUUAAAUUGAGGCUCUCUCUUUGUAAUCAAUCAGCUAAUUCAAUUCCAUGCUCUUAGUGGUCACUACACAUUCCAAAGUUCUCUCAAACAAGACCUGCUGCAGGAGAUGAAAAAGAAAACCUAUCAGCCUAAAAAGAAAAACAACAACAACAACGAUGGAGUUCUUGUGGCUUUUUGUAGACAUUCCAUUAGAUAGAGCAAUGCUGGCUUUACAGCCAGCAAGGAAAAGUACAAGCAAUUUAUUCAUGCCUCUAGCUCAUCUCCUCAGCGUGUUCUGAAGAAUCAUUCAGCCUUCAGAGACUCAUAGACUCAUCCACGGUGAGGUCAUUAUGUUGAUGUUGGCGCACAGGGAGCCGAUUUUGUCAGCAUGUAUUGGAGAAAGGGCCUCAGAAGGGCAUGGGGCAGGCUCCAAGCUUAACCAUGAGCGGAGAUGGUUUCAGUGGCUCUUAUGUCAUCGCUAAUAAGAGAGUUAUUUUUACAGGAGACUGUCACUAGCAAAACGUAAGCUGCCUUUUACUUUAAAGGAAAGGUGCCAGCUUCUAAGCUCAUCCUUUAAUUACCUUGUACGUAACAGAAGAGGUUGUUAGUGUAGUGAACACGCCAGAACAGGGGUGUGGAAGCCAAGUGUUCUCUAUUCCAGCUAUGGAAAGUUCAAUGGCAGGUGUGGUCCGAAGCCAACCAGAGGACGCAGGAGAUUGGAGAAGAGCUCUCCUUCCGUUCAGGCUCACGGCAAAGCACGUUGCCUUCUUUCUUUUGCAAAAUAACCACAGGAUACUUCUCAGAGAGAUGCUACGGAGAUGCUUCAGCCUUGAACACCAGUGAGUCACGUGUUCUAAAGCUCUCCAUUGCUGAAGAAAAGGAUUUCCACUCAAUGAAAUCAUGACGCAGAAGAUUAUGCAGUUUGAGUCUCAAGAUGUAAAAGGUCUGAAGAGACUGCAUAUAGGUAGGAACUAACUGAAAAAUAAGAAGAAGGCCUGUGCUAUGAUAUACGUUGAUACAGUGGCAGUCAGGUUAUUUCUUUUCCUUUGUUCCUUUGUUCCUUUGUGUGUGUGCCCUGAAUGAUACAACUUAUUUUCAAUAGAAAUAAAUCAUGCAUCUUCAAAUUGGAUGUGGCUAACUGGGUGUAGAGGGUUUUGGUCCAUGAGUAGCACACAGUCUAACAUCUGCUGUUACACUUUGUUUACUUAGAAUAUAAAUUAAAUUCCUGAGCUGGUACACAAGCCAGUGUAUAGACAGCAGGCUAAAUUUGUUACGGUUGAAAAAAGUGAAACAUGGUGUAUCUUCAAAACAG
rnacentral:lncRNA from 1 species